GGCCCCGGAAGCGAGGGGGCGGGAACCGAGCCUCUGUGCGUCAUUUCCGGGAGAGCGUGGGGUUUCGCUCUCCGGGGCAGUGGCUGCUGUCAGAAUCCCUUCUUUGAGGAGGCACCUGCUCUUCCGCUUUUCUCCAGCUUUCCAUGAGCUGUGGGGAGUAGCUUGGGUGUCCUCUCACUCUUACUAGAUAGAAAUCAAGAAAGCGCCUUGAGGCGAGAGAAGAGUCCCGUCAGGAGGCCCAGUGGGGUCCUCCACACUCCACGGUCCCCGCCUCCGGGAAGGCCGCGCGUGGCAUGGGCAGAGCGCGGAAUCCUGGCUCCACUGCCCACCUGCCCGUUGACUUUAGGCGACGCCAACCCCAGGCUGGUGAGGAGUCCCUGAAAUAUAAGGCACGGGAGCCACCCGGAGCCACCCGACCUGCCACGUUAAGCAGCAUGAGGGACCGAAAGAUGAGUCUGGGCCAGUCUCUUAGGAGCUUCUGGUCUCGCAGAGAGGCGGGAGGUAAGAUCCUGUACAAAUAAGCGUGGCUGGUCGUGCGCGUGGCUGGCGUCUGGAAUCCCAGCGCUCUGGGAGGCCGAGGCGGAGGGAUUCCAGGAGUUGGAGACCAGUCCGUGCAUAUACGAGACUCCGUCUCUCCAAAAAUUAUAAACAUUAGCCGGCGUGGUGGUGCGCGCCUGUAGUCCCGGCUACUUGGGAGGCGGAGGAUGGAGGAUCUUGAGGAAUUCGAGGCUCGGUGAGUUCUGAUCCGCGCCACUGCACUCCAGCGUAGGCAGUAGAGUGAGACCUUGUCGCUAAACAAACAGGUUAGGAGUGGAGGCUGGAUAACUGACAAAUGGAAUACCUUAGAACAGGGGAGUCCAAUCUUUUGGCUUCCGUGGGCCACACUGGAAGAAGAAUUGCCUGGGCCCAUAUAUAAAACUAAUACUAAUGAUAGCCGACGAGCUUUAAAAAAAAAAUCUAAAAAAAAUCUCGUAAUGCUUUAAGGAAGUUUACGAAUUCGUGUUGGGCUGUAUUCAAAGCCUGGCCUCCAGGGCCGCACGCGGCCCUUGGGUAGGACAGGUUUGCUUUGUAAUGUCUUCCUCCCACUCCACCCGCCUCCCCAGAGGUACCCUUACCAGUGUCUCCUGGAACCUUCCAGAGAUGUUCUAGGCAUGUUUAGGAGAUACUUCUCCUUUCUCUUGUUGGAUGGGUUUAAUUAAUUUUUUUCCUUUUUUUUUUUUUUUUUUUUGUAAUGGAGUCUCGCUCUGUCGCACAGGCUGGAGUGCAGUGGCACGAUCUGGGCUCACUGUAUCCUUCGCUUCCCGGGUUCAAGCAGUUCUCUGCCUCAGCCUCCCGAGUAACUAGGAUUACAGGCACGCGCCACAACGCCCGGCUAAUUUUUGUAUUUUUAGUAAAGAUGGGGUUUCACCAUCCUGGCCAGGCUGGUCUUGAACUCCUGGACUUCAUGAUCCACCUGCCUCGGCCUCCCAAAGUGCUAGGAUUAUAGGCGUGAACCACCACGGCCAAUUUUUUUUUAAAGAGGGAGUCUUGCCCUGACGCCCAGGCUGGAGUGCAGUGAUCUUGUCUCACUGCAGUCUCUCCCUUUCGGGUUCAAGCAGUUCUCCUGUCUCAGCCUCCCGAGUAGCUGAAACUACAGGCGGACGCCACCAUGCCCGGCUACUUUUUUUUUUUUUUUUGAGACAGAGUUUCGCUCUUGUUGCCCAGGCUGGAGUGCAAUGGCGAGAUCUCAGCCCACCGCAACCUCCGCCUCCUGAGCUCAAGCUAUUCUCCUGCCUCAGCCUCCCCAGUAGCUGAGAUUACGGGUAUGCACCACCAUGCCUGGCUAAUUUUUUUUUUUUUUUUUUUUGAGACGGAGUCUUGCUCUGUCGCCCAGGCUGGAGUGCAGUGGCGCGAUCUUGGCUCACUGCAAGCUUCGCCUCCUGGGUUCACGCCAUUCUCCUGCCUCAGCCUCCCGAGUAGCUGGGACUACAGGCGCCCGCCACCACGCCCGGCUAAUUUUUUUUUUUUGUAUUUUUAGUAGAGACAAGGUUUCACCGUGUUAGCCAGGAUGGUCUCGAUCUGACCUCUGCCCUCGUGAUGCGCCCGCCUCGGACUCCCAAAGUG
rnacentral:lncRNA from 1 species